GCUUUCUCUAAAUGUUAUUUUUCUCUGUUCAGUUUUCUUGUUCACCUCUGGUUUGAAAAGCAGCAGUAUGUCUGCGUGAUUGCAGUGUGCCUGCUGGAUGAAGAGACCAGUGGCCCUCCCUGGAGCACCAGAACACAUUUUGGUCUUCAGAAUGUGAAAAGGUAUGUGUUAGGGCCGUAUCCCACCUCCAGUGUCUUAUAACGGGCACUUCAACCAGGGCACAGAGAUCUGUGUGCACACAGAAACCCUUUUCUUUCGGGACAAGGCUAUCAAUGCCCCACACAAGAGAGACUUCAAGGACGCUGUGUCCCCUGUGUGCUAGCAGAGGUCAUAUAAAAAUAACGAUGGAGGAGUGUUUUCCCGGCUCUGGUACCAGUCACGGGGAGAGCUGGAUGAACAGCCUCUGAGCAAAGCCAGCGGUGUUUGGAGAUGAUGAACCAGCGCUGCUGGGCUCGCAGCGGCCCUGCCCACGCCAGGCAGAGCUUCAGUGCAGGGUCCCCGCAGACCCUCCCCGAGCACAGCGGCGUGACGUCGCCGCUCCCCUAGGGGCCACUGCCUCCAAGUGACGCCCAGUCAGGCACACUGAUGUAGCCUCGCUGCCGCUCUUCCCGCCCACGUCUCCCGGCGGAGCUGCCCCGAGGCGGAGGCGGCCCUGGCCGCGGACCCGCUCUGCGAAGAGCGGGAGGUGCGGCAACGCCCUGGGAUGCGGCCUCGGCUCGGCCCCGCCGCCCGCCUCCCCGCCUCCCCGCCCGCUGUCAGCGCCCGGCGGCCGCAUGGGCACGGCGAGGCGUGCGGCGCCUCUCAACAGCGGCUGCUUCGGGACCGGCGGGCAGCGCCCGCGAGGGGCGGUGUCCGUCCUUUCAUCCAUCCAUCCAUCCACCCAUCCAUCCGUCCAUCCAUCCGUCCGUCCGUCCAUCCAUCCCCGCGUGGGUGGCGGCUCGUGUGCGUGAGCGUGUGUGUGACUGACACUGCGGCGCGCACAGCGAACGGGGCUGGGGGGGGAUGGGGGGGGACGCCGGCGCGCCCCGGCUGUGGCAGCCCCGUCUCCGUCCCCCGGAGCCCUCCCCGAUGGGGGCGACCUCAGCGGCCUCGCUGCUCCUCCUCCUCCCUCCUGGCGGGCUCUGCUGCUCUCUGA
ensembl:lncRNA